AAUAGAUACCCUGGUAGUCCACGCCGUAAACGAUGGAUGCUAGCUAUUGGGGGGAAUCGACCCCCUCCGAAGCGAAGCUAACGCGUUAAGCAUCCCGCCUGAGUAGUACGAGCGCAAGCUUAAAACUCAAAGGAAUUGACGGGGACCCGCACAAGCGGUGGAGCGUGUGGUUUAAUUCGAUGGUAAACGAAGAACCUUACCAAGGUUUGACAUCCCGGUAGCCGUUCUCCGAAAGGAGAAUUUCAUUUAGUUGGACCGGUGACAGGUGAUGCAUGGCCGUCGUCAGCUCGUGUCGUGAGAUGUUGGGUUAAGUCCCGCAACGAGCGCAACCCUUAUGAUUUAGUUGGAUUUUUCUAAACAGACUGCCCUGGUAACAGGGAGGAAGGAGGGGAUGAUGUCAGGUCAGUAUUUCCCUUACACCUUGGGGCGACACACGCGCUACAAUGGCCGGUACAAUGGGCAGCUAAGCCGCGAGGUGGAGCAAAUCCCAUCAAAGCCGGUCCCAGUUCGGAUUGCAGGCUGAAACCCGCCUGCAUGAAGCCGGAAUCGCUAGUAACC
rnacentral:rRNA from 1 species